rnacentral:rRNA from 1 species
GACGAACGCUGGCGGCGUGCCUAAUACAUGCAAGUCGAACGCUGAAGAGAGGAGCUUGCUCUUCUUGGAUGAGUUGCGAACGGGUGAGUAACGCGUAGGUAACCUGCCUUGUAGCGGGGGAUAACUAUUGGAAACGAUAGCUAAUACCGCAUAACAAUGGAUGACACAUGUCAUUUAUUUGAAAGGGGCAAUUGCUCCACUACAAGAUGGACCUGCGUUGUAUUAGCUAGUAGGUGAGGUAAUGGCUCACCUAGGCGACGAUACAUAGCCGACCUGAGAGGGUGAUCGGCCACACUGGGACUGAGACACGGCCCAGACUCCUACGGGAGGCAGCAGGAGGGAAUCUUCGGCAAUGGGGGCAACCCUGACCGAGCAACGCCGCGUGAGUGAAGAAGGGUUUCGGAUCGUAAAGCUCUGUUGUAAGUCAAGAACGGGUGUGAGAGUGGAAAGUUCACACUGUGACGGUAGCUUACCAGAAAGGGACGGCUAACUACGUG